rnacentral:lncRNA from 1 species
AUCCAUCUGCGCCUCCCGGCCACCCAUCAUUCCCUCCAUCCACAGCGCCGCCAGAACCCAUCCAUCAUCACCUCCAGCCGGCGCCGCCGCCUCGCCUACAGCCAUCUCCCUGCUGUCCGCUGCUCUCCUCUUCUUUCCAACCUUCUUCUCCUCACCAUGCUGCUGCUCCUCCCUCUCAAUCUCUACUGCUGCUCUUCCUUGCCCCCCCACCCCCCCGUGCUGCUGCCUCUCCUUCCCUUCGUUGCUUGCUGCUUCUCCUUUGAUCCCUUUGCUACUGCUCCUCUUCUUCGUGCCCAACCUCCGCUGCUGCUCCUCUUUCCUGCUGCUACUCCCUCUCACCACGCCUCUGCUGCUCUCUUUCCCCUCCUGCUGCUGCUCUCCUCACCAUGCUGCUUCUCCUCUUGCUGCUGCUGCCCGCCCCCGACCUCCUCCUGCUAUCUCUCUCUACUUCCCCUGCUACCUUUCUUCUCUGAACCUACCUACUGCUUCUCUCUCUCUCUGAAAUUGCUGUAGUACUAAGAUUUGUAAGACAGUGUACUACAACCUGUUAAUUGUUCAGUUCAGAUUUUUGCUUGUUUAGUAUUAUUCUGUUGAUCUGUGCUAAUCUUGUGGCUAGUAUAAUUUCGUUUCUGUUGUUACUUGUGUAACCUGAACCGUGGUUAGUAUCCUAUUUGCAUAUGUGUGUUUUGUAGUCCCUGUAUUAGUUACGUACCUGUGAUAUAUAAAUGUGUGUGUGCGUGUGUGUGUGUAAUUCAUCAAAAUAUAUUGUUGUGUGAUGAUGAUAUAUGUUCAGUCUAGAGACACGUUAUUUUUCUUGCUUUGUAGAUCGAUGUGAACUAGUACCCUUGUGUGUUUCUGUUGUCACUAGUUAAAUUGAUCACCUAUGUACUACUUGUUGUAGAAACUUGUUACAUUAGUCCUUGUGCUAGCUAUGCACCUGUGAUAAAUAUGUGUGUGAUGUGAAACAUUUCUGUUCUGUCCUAUAAUAUUGUUUCCUCCCUCUUUUGCUUGUCAUUAUGCUAUAUGUGUUCAUGUCCUAAUGUUUCCCUUUAUGUUAGUUUCUAAUUUCUCAUGCCUAAUAAAAAUACCAAAAGACAGCAAGUAAGAUCUGAUCCUCCCUUUGCUAUUUUGCCUUUUCUUUGUGGAUCAUCUUUGGGAGCAACCUUGUUUAGUUUAGGUUUAUUUUCUUGCAGCCAUAAUCUCAAUUGUGUUACCUAGAUUUAGCUGAGCAUAGUCGCCGUCGCCUAGUCCCUGCGGGGAACACGACACUCGCGAUUUGGGCGAAAUAUCCCACCACAUUUACAAACGAUCAGCGAGGCUCAUCGUCGUCCUUGCUAGGCGGCCCUUUCCCCUUGUGCUCGGUGUUUAGCUUACCGACCUGUUUGAAGACCCAACAAUUUUUGCUGGUAUGAUUGGCAGGCUUGUCAGGGGUGCCAUGGAUCUGGCAAGGCCGAUCGAGUAUUCUGUCCAAACUGGAUGAACCAUCUUUGUUUCCUUUGAAUGGCUUCUUUCGUUGACCGGGUUUAGAGCCACUGAAUCCAGCGUUGACCGCCGUAUCUUCGGUAUCUUCAUU